GAUGAACGCUGGCGGCAUGCCUAAUACAUGCAAGUCGAACGAAAAGAGAGUAUGCUUGCAUACGAUCAAUUAGUGGCGAACGGGUGAGUAACACGUAAGUAACCUGGCUUACAGAUUGGGACAACAGUUGGAAACGACUGCUAAUACCAAAUAAGAUUAGUUCUUGCAUGAGAACAAAUUGAAAGUAGCUUCACAGCUAUACUGUAAGAUGGACUUGCGUCGCAUUAGCUAGUUGGUAAGAUAAAAGCUUACCAAGGCGACGAUGCGUAGCCGACCUGAGAGGGUGAACGGCCACAUUGGGACUGAGACACGGCCCAAACUUCUACGGAAGGCAGCAGUAGGGAAUUUUCCACAAUGGGCGAAAGCCUGAUGGAGCAAUGCCGCGUGAGAGAAGAAGGCCUUAGGGUUGUAAAUCUCUGUUGUAAGGGAAGAAAGCCAUGUAGAGGAAAUGCUAUGUGAGUGACGGUACCUUACCAGAAAGCCACGGCUAACUACGUGCCAGCAGCCGCCGUAA
rnacentral:rRNA from 1 species